ACAUACCUAUAGAAUAGUGUUAAUGCAUCGGAUCCCAUUAGAACUUUGCAGUUAAGUGUGCUCAUGCUAGAGUAGUACUAGGAUGGGUGAUUGUCUGGGAAGUGUUAGUAUUUUACAUGCC
rnacentral:rRNA from 1 species